CCCUCCCGUGCUCACACUCUCACUCUGUCUCUCAAAGAAAAAAUAAACUCAAAAAAAAAUUUUUAAUGCCUACCUGGCAAUGUGUUUCAGGUAGUGUGCUAAAAAUUAAAACAAAAAUUAAAAAAGAAGCUUUUGAGGAGCUCCCUCAGUCUACUUAAUUUGAGUGCUAAAAAGAAAAAAAAACAUGUCUGUUAUCUGCCUGAAAUGUCCUUGGUGGCUGCUAGGUGGGGACCUAGUGUGGGAUGCCGGCAGUGAGUGACAGAGGUGCCUGAGGCUGCAUCCCAGACAGCUCAGGGACAUGUUGAGUGUGGAGGGGCGGUGGCUUCCUCCCAGGGAACAGGCUCCUUCCAGCUUCUGUCUCUUAAUUGCUCCUGUCCUUGUCAUCAGAAGCUCUGCAUCGCUCUCCUGUGCUCCCUCCCUGCCUCGGCUGGGUUUGCACAUGUCUGUGCUGCUCCGGCAGCCCGGCUGCAGCUCUGACUCCCGGCCCCUCCGUAUCCUUGCAUCUGCUGCCUCCCGACCGCCUGCGGGGUGAGGGGCCAGUCCUAGCGGUCAGACAGGCGCCCUUGGAUUUCAAGGGCCCUGAGGUCAAGCUCAGAGCUGCCAGCAUAGCAAAAUAGUAUCUAUCUGGGUAGGUGACUGAAAAUUUUUCAUGGAUUUUGCUUUCUAUUUUAUCAAAUACUGUUUAAGAGGAACCGCUUUGAAAUUUUCACCAGCUAAAUGACAGCUUUGAACAUUGAAACUCGGGAAGAUGGUCCACGGCUGUCCUGUGAUCCAGGUUAGAAAAGGGCCCUUGAAGAAGCAGAUGCGCCAUCUCCAGAAGGCCAAUGGCGCCACCCUCAGGAAAAUGGUGACACCAGGCUCGCGGUUGGUGGCUGAAAUGUGGAUGUUUCUUCGUCAAGACUGAGGAUUGUGUUUCCGGGCACAGCAGAGUACAGAGGACCACAGUUCCCCCUGCCAGGCCCAACACCUGGGAUGACAACAGGUGCUCUGUGAAGUAAUAGAAGAAUUCCUGGACUUGAGUGCCCUCAUCCAGUCUCAACGAAGCCACUGUAACCUCCUGGGGAGGCAAGAAUCAUCACCUCCCGCUAGUCUCUGAGAGUGAAAAGGGGUUACUGCCCUGCAGGCUACAUCAUUGGGGUUGGAUUAAAUCAAAUAAGAAAUAUGAAGCUACACUGAACACACCAAAGCGUGACGUUAGGCAGGCUGACAGAACAUGUGGGCGGUAUAGGACAGUGAGUGUUCCUGAGCUGUCACCAAAGAGAGUGGCCUCUCAUGUGUACCAUUGGUGCUGCUCCACAGGGCAUCUGUUCCCAACACAUACCUCCAACCCGGGAGUGCUCCUUCUCAUCCAAGAGAACCGAAUGAAACACCUUGCCCAGGCACUACCAGAUGUCAGACACCAUGUAGAGAAUCAAGAGAACAAAGAUGCAGGAAAGAGGGAAGCCAAGUCCAGGUUUAAUAAAUGUCUGCAGGAAUUUUGCAGAAUGCAUUGGAAACAUCCCACGAUGGUGAAAAUCCGUUGAUUAAAAACUUAACCCUCAGCCAUAAGAAGGAAUGGAACUUUGACAUGUGCUACAACAUGGAAGUCAUUAUGCUGAGUGAAAUCAGCCAGACACAAAAGGACAAAUGCUGUAUGAUCCCACUUAUAUGAGGUAGCUGGAAUAGGCAAUUCCUAGAGGCAGAAAGUAGAAUAGUUAC